rnacentral:lncRNA from 1 species
CAGCCUCCUCUUCCUCUUUCACGACAAUGUUCACCCACAGACCAUCUUCCUCCGUCCAGCAGAGCUCUGCUGGACGAAGAAAGAGAGCCUGUGGCAGAACAUUGUUGUGAAAGAGGAGAAGGAAGAGGAGGAUGUUACAGUGAAAGAAGAAAAAUACGUUUCGGCGAAAGAAGAGGAAGACGCGUUCAGAGUGAGGAGGAGGAUGUUACAGUGAAAGAAGAGGCGGAGGAACAGGGGAAGAUAACUGUCACAUCGAACGAGGAGGAGACUAGGGAUCUGAUUAACAACAUUCAGUACUGUCUUGGAAACGGGCACAAACUGUCUGCAGUUGUUGAACUGAUGCAGGAGAGAGACCAGACUCUCCUUCUGACGGCAGGAAGAGUCCUUCAGGGGAACCAGACCCUGAGACGUCCAAACCAGCAGGACGACAUCACUGCUCCCAGUGUGUAAAGAGUUUUACUCAGUUAGGGAGCCUGAAAACACAUAAGAGAAGACACACAGAAGAGAAGCCUUACCACUGCUCCUUGUGUGGAAAGAGUUUUAGGUGGUUUGGAAGCGUGGAAAGGCAUGAGAGGACACACACAGGAGAAAAGCCUUUCUAAUGUUCCCAUUGUGGAAAGAGUUGUACCCAGUUAGGGAGCCUGAAGGAGCAUGAGAGAAUGACAUUGAGGUUAAAUAAAGUGUGCUUUAUCAAUGUAACAUAUUUUGACACGUCCACUGUGGGGCUCUGUAGAGUCAUAAUAUCCAUAACAACUUGAGGUCAAACAGGGAAAUGGCUCCAAUCGUUUUUCCACCAUUCAUUUUUCCCAUAGGGCUGUUUGUUUAGGCUUACCCUGUUGUGACGUUUUGAUAACCAUGUGAAUCUCUCUAGGACAAGGUGACGGAUGCCACACCGUGUGUUGUGAAUGUAUUGUAAUGUUUUUUAAUAUUGUAUAACUGCCUUUAUUUUGCUGUACCCCAGGAAGAGUAGCUGCUGCCUUGGCAGGAACUAAUGGGGAUCCUUUAUUCACGGAUCCGAUCAUGCUAAUUAGCAUCAAAGUAGACAACAUGCAAGACUACAAAUAAUAAUAAACUUCUUCCAUUAAGUAUGAUGGAGGCCACAAAGACUACAAAUCCCUGCAGCUCCACGGAUUCAGAAUACAAAUAAUAAUAAUAACAAACUUCUUCCAUUUAAGUAUGAGAGAGGCCACUAAGACUACAAAUCCCUGCAGCUCCACGGAUUCAGACUACAUAUAAUAAUAAUAAUAAUAAACUUCUUCCAUUAAGUAUGAUCAAAUUUAUUUAUAUAGCCCUUCGUACAUCAGCUGAUAUCUCAAAGUGCUAAAAGCCUAAAACCCCAAACAGCAAGCAAUGCAGGUGUAGAAGCACGGUGGCUAGGAAAAACUCCCUAUAAAGGCCAAAACCUAGGAAGAAACCUAGAGAGGAACCAGGCUAUGUGGGGCGGCCAGUCCUCUUCUGGCUGUGCCGGGUGGAGAUUAUAACAGAACAUGGUCAAGAUGUUCAAAUGUUCAUAAAUGACCAGCAUGGUCGAAUAAUAAUAAGGCAGAACAGUUGAAACUGGAGCAGCAGCACAGUCAGGUGGACAGCAAGGAGUCAUCAUGUCAGGUAUUCCUGGGGCAUGGUCCUCGGGCUCAGGUCCUCUGAGAGAGAGAAAGAAAGAUGAUGUCCAUUAAGUACAAAUAGAAAGGCGACGCUGCCCGUGUGACGUAUAAUCUAGUGAACGGGAUGCUCCUUCAACAACAACAGCUAGUCAGCAGACACCUCAGUAGCUUUUUAGCAAAUAUAGCUACAACAUUCACGCUCUUUACACUGUUUUUGUGUAUAUUAGUCGCUGUGUAUUAAAACACACUUCUGUCGUAUGUAGUCGUUGACCCAUUUAAUUAUAUAUUUACGUUGUUUGUCAGCUAGCUGAUUUGCUGAGUUAGCUUAGAACUAGGCUAGUCGCUAAUGCUAGCUAGCUAACAUCCCCGACCAUGAGUUCACUAAGCUACUCUCCUCCUGCUAAAGAAGAGGUGGUCUGCUGGACAGAGAAAGAAGCUCUGGUGAAAGAGGAGGAUGUUACAAUACAAAAACAAGUAGAGGGUGAGGCUGUUACCGUGAAAGAAGAAGAGAGACGUUUCAGUGAACGAAGAGGAAGACACGUUCAGAGUGAAAGAGGAUGUUACAGUAAAAUGAGAGGAUGAUUCAGUUUUUGGAGUGAAGGAGGAGGGGGAGAUGACUGUCAUAAUGGAGGAAGAAGAGGAGGUUGGAUAUCUGUUUAACACCAGUAAGUACCGUCUCUGCAGUCGGUGAACCAAUAUGCAGUAAAGGGGUUCUACACUUUAAUGUUGUUCUGUAGGAAUGGCUGAAGCUACACUGUAACGUGUAGAACAUCAAGAGUGGACUAUCAACAAAACGUUACCAGUUGAUUAAAUGCAUCCAAUGACGAUGCCUGAAAUACGGUAGUCCUCAAUAUCUCCUAUUAGAUUAGCCCAAUAUGUAGUCUUAAAGGGGCAAUCAGCAGUUGUUACAUCCAUUUUGGGAUGUAUACAUUAAUGGUAUGUACCCAUCUGUUUCUUGAAGAAUUCACUUAUACAUGCCACAUGAGCUUAGUUCAACUGUCGUACCCCAUCAGAACCCCAAAUAAGCUUUUUUUUACUCCAAUGUUUGUCAGUUAAUAUAAACAAACACUGUAUAUCCUCAAAACAUGGUUAAAACUAUCGUGUUGAUGUCAUGGAUGGUUGCAUUUCUCCAGCUCCAUCCCUCAGCUUUUUACCGAAACGGGCAGGGAGUCCGCUUUGUUAUUGUUUCUACAUGUGAUUGCUGCUCCCGUUACUCCUCGAGGUCCAAGGACUGUAUGUUAUUUUCAGAGGUAGACUGGCUCUGGCAGCUAAAAUAGUCAAAUAUUCCAUGUAAAUGUGAAACGAUUCUCAAUUGCGAUACGUUUCUAGAAACAUAAAUCAUAUCACAUCAACAUAAGUUCACACAAUACUUAAAUAUCACAUCAAAAUAAUUUCAAAUAAUAUUUUCAUAUCACAUCAAAAUAAUUUCACACAAUACUUUCAUAUCACAUCAAAAUAGGUAACCAGUCGCGAUGGUAAACCAAAUUGGUUUCUCAUCAGUUCUCCUUCCUUCGGGCUUCUUUUUCUUCUUUGGACUUUAUAUGGCGUUUGGCAACCAACUUUAAGGUGCAUUACCAUCAUCAACUGGACUGGAGUGUGGACCUCAGUUCAUCUUUCAAUCACCCACGCGGGUAUAUACUAAGACAGUCAUGAAGAGGGCACAACAAAACCUUUUCCCCCUCAGGAGUCUGAAAAGAUUUGGCACGGGUCCCCAGCUCCUCAAAAGGUAAUACAGUUGCACCAUCGAGAGCAUCCUGACCGGUUGCAUCACCGCCUGGUAUGGCAACUGCUCAGCAUCUGACCCUAAGGCACUACAGAAGGUAGUGCAAACCGCCCAGUACAUCACUGUGGCCAAGCUUCCUGCCAUCCAGGACCUAUAUACUAGUCGGUGUAAUAGGAAAGCCCACAAAAUUGUCAAAGACUCCAGUCACCCAAGUUAUAGACUGUUUUCUCUGCUACUGCACGGCAAGCGGUACCGGCGGGCCAAGUUUCGGAACCCCCCCAACCCCUUCCCUUUUGUGCACUGCUACUACUCUCUGGUUGUUUGUUACCUAUGCAUAGUCACGACGCCCCCAUCUUCAUGUUCAGAUUUCCUCAAUUAGCCUGUACCCCUGCACACUGACUCGAUACCUGUGCCCCCUCUAUAUAGCUUCGUUAUUAUCAUUGUGUUACUUUUUAUUAUUAGUUUUUAUUUUAGUCUACUUGGUAAAUAUUUUCUUCUUCUUGAACUGCACUGUUGGUUAAGGGCUUGUAAUUAAAGCAUUUCACGGUAAAGUCUAAGUUGGUUUCUUGACGGAUUUGUAAAAAAAGGUUCGUCAUAAAACACUAUAUAUAUAUAUUUUUUUAAAUGUUGCUGACACCCCUCCCCAGAAGUGUCUCAUUAUUGGGAUUCAUUGCUGAUUCCUACCUGUAGCUCACUAUGAGGUGUCUAGUGUUACAGGUUGAGGGCCCUGUUGGAGAUUGUUCGAGGGAACAAGCAGGGUUGGACACGGCCAUGUUAUUAUCCCACACACAGUCUCUGUGGUUCAUAUGAACCCCAUUCCUGGGAAUUAGAUUUGAUUACAAAUCGCCCCUGUCUGUUACCACAGAAGUGUUCCAUCUGUCCCAUUCCCAGCUGGGUUACGGGCUCUUUGUCUCCAGUACCUAUGACUGGUUGAUAGGGGAAACCUCCAUGCUCAUUAUAGAAAAAGUAAUUAGGGCAACACUAUUUAGUAAACUGAAAUAAAAUAAAUAUUCCAAAACUUUAGUA